rnacentral:rRNA from 1 species
GACGAACGCUGGCGGCGUGCUUAACACAUGCAAGUCGAACGGAAAGGCCCUGCUUUUGUGGGGUGCUCGAGUGGCGAACGGGUGAGUAACACGUGAGUAACCUGCCCUUGACUUUGGGAUAACUUCAGGAAACUGGGGCUAAUACCGGAUAGGAGCUCCUGCUGCAUGGUGGGGGUUGGAAAGUUUCGGCGGUUGGGGAUGGACUCGCGGCUUAUCAGCUUGUUGGUGGGGUAGUGGCUUACCAAGGCUUUGACGGGUAGCCGGCCUGAGAGGGUGACCGGCCAAAUUGGGACUGAGGUACGGCCCAGACUCCUACGGGAGGCAGCAGUGGGGAAUAUUGCACCAUGGGCGGGAGCCUGAUGCCGCCACGCCGCGUGCGGGAUGACGGCCUUCGGGUUGUAAACCGCUUUCGCCUGUGACGAAGCGUGAGUGACGGUAAUGGGUAAAGAAGCACCGGCUAACUACGUG